CGCAAAGACCCUAAACGGACCUAGCAUGAGUUGACACUUAGACUUAACCAUUAAGUCACCAAUUCUCUCCACUUUCAUUACAAUACCUGAUUUCACUCUCUCUCCUCUCGUCACUCUCUAGUUGGCCGAAGAUGGGAAGAAAAAAAUCUAGCCAAAAUCCUCACAAACUUGCUUCAAUCCACUUCCAAAUUUCAUCAUCCAUUAGAGGGCUUUGAUCCUAGCUUGGAAGAGGGGGCUGUUCAUCGGUUUUCUUGGAGGAAUUUCGGUCAAGAUUUCUGCCCUAAAGCUGUCCAACUAAGUUCUUGAGGAUCUCAAGAGGACUUCGAGGGAACUCCCGGCGAAGCGUCUUAGAGCUAAUUUCUCAAACUUUGACUUUUGAUACUUGGUUUGGAAGUGGAAGUUCG